UACGUAGGGGGCAAGCGUUGUCCGGAAUCAUUGGGCGUAAAGGGCGCGUAGGCGGAUUGCUUUGUCAGACGUGAAAUUCCAGGGCUCAACCUUGGGGCUGCGUUUGUGACUGCAUAGCUGGAGUACGGUAGAGGGGGAUGGAAUUCCGCGUGUAGCAGUGAAAUGCGUAGAUAUGCGGAGGAACACCGAUGGCGAAGGCAAUCCCCUGGACCUGUACUGACGCUCAUGCACGAAAGCGUGGGGAGCAAACAGG
rnacentral:rRNA from 1 species